rnacentral:piRNA from 1 species
UAAGAGUCAAGACUGCUUGGGAAA